rnacentral:rRNA from 1 species
GGUCUGACCUGCCCAAUGAUUUUUAAAUGGCCGCGGUAUCCUGACCGUGCAAAGGUAGCAUAAUCAUUUGUUUUUUAAUUGGAAACUAGUAUGAAUGGUCCUACGAAAGGUCACCUUUCUUUAUUUUAUUAUAUUGAAUUUUAUUUUUGUGUGAGAAAGCAUAAAUAACAUUAUUAGACGAUAAGACCCUAUAAAACUUUAUUUUUCUUUGGUUUCUUGUUUUUAAUAGGUGAUAAUUUGGGACCCAAGAAUAAUUUUACUGGGGCGGUAAGUAAAUCUAUUUAACUUUACUUUUAUUUUUCAUUAAUUUAUGUUAGUUUUGAUCCAAAAUUUUUGAUUAAAAGAUCAAGUUACUUUAGGGAUAACAGCGUAAUCA